rnacentral:rRNA from 1 species
GUGGGGAAUAUUGGACAAUGGGCGCAAGCCUGAUCCAGCCAUGCCGCGUGAGUGAUGAAGGCCUUAGGGUUGUAAAGCUCUUUCAGUGGGGACGAUAAUGACGGUACCCACAGAAGAAGCCCCGGCUAACUUCGUGCCAGCAGCCGCGGUAAUACGAAGGGGGCUAGCGUUGUUCGGAUUUACUGGGCGUAAAGCGCACGUAGGCGGAUCGUUAAGUCGGGGGUGAAAUCCUGGAGCUCAACUCCAGAACUGCCUUCGAUACUGGCGAUCUUGAGUCCGGGAGAGGUGAGUGGAACUCCUAGUGUAGAGGUGGAAUUCGUAGAUAUUAGGAAGAACACCAGUGGCGAAGGCGGCUCACUGGUCCAGUACUGACGCUGAGGUGCGAAAGCGUGGGGAGCAAACAGGAUUAGAAACCCUUGUAGUCC